rnacentral:rRNA from 1 species
CCGGUGGCGGAUGGGCAUGCGGCGCAUUAGCUAGACGGCGGGGUGACGGCCCACCGUGGCGACGAUGCGUAGGGGUUCUGAGAGGAAGGCCCCCCACACUGGGACUGAGACACGGCCCAGACUCCUACGGGAGGCAGCAGUGAGGAAUAUUGGUCAAUGGGCGGAAGCCUGAACCAGCCAAGUCGCGUGAGGGAUUAAGGCCCUGCGGGUCGUAAACCUCUUUUGCCGGGGAGCAGUGGUCCGGACGCGUCCGGGCCGGGAGAGUACCCGGAGAAAAAGCAUCGGCUAACUCCGUGCCAGCAGCCGCGGUAAUACGGAGGAUGCGAGCGUUAUCCGGAUUUAUUGGGUUUAAAGGGUGCGUAGGCGGGCAUUUAAGCCGGCGGUCAAAUGUCGGGGCUCAACCCCGGCCUGCCGUCGGAACUGGGUGCCUUGAGUGGGCGAGAAGUAUGCGGAAUGCGUGGUGUAGCGGUGAAAUGCAUAGAUAUCACGCAGAACCCCGAUUGCGAAGGCAGCAUACCGGCGCCCUACUGACGCUGAGGCACGAAAGUGCGGGUAUCGAACAGGAUUAGAUACCCUGGUAGUCCGCACAGUAAACGAUGGAUGCUAUCUGUCCGGGCCGAAUGAGGCCUGG